rnacentral:rRNA from 1 species
AGUGAACGCUGGCGGUAGGCCUAACACAUGCAAGUCGAACGGCAGCACAGUAAGAGCUUGCUCUUACGGGUGGCGAGUGGCGGACGGGUGAGGAAUACAUCGGAAUCUACUUUUUCGUGGGGGACAACGUAGGGAAACUUACGCUAAUACCGCAUACGACCUACGGGUGAAAGCAGGGGAUCUUCGGACCUUGCGCGAUUGAAUGAGCCGAUGUCGGAUUAGCUAGUUGGCGGGGUAAAGGCCCACCAAGGCGACGAUCCGUAGCUGGUCUGAGAGGAUGAUCAGCCACACUGGAACUGAGACACGGUCCAGACUCCUACGGGAGGCAGCAGUGGGGAAUAUUGGACAAUGGGCGCAAGCCUGAUCCAGCAAUACCGCGUGAGUGAAGAAGGCCUUCGGGUUGUAAAGCCCUUUUGUUGGGAAAGAAAAGCAGCAGGUUAAUCCCCCGCUGUUCUGACGGUACCCAAAGAAUAAGCACCGGCUAACUUCGUG